UCAUUGUAGCAAGUACGAUAUUCUUAGUGAAUUCCGUUUCAAAUAUUGACGCUACGUGUUGCUAUUAAUAACUGAUAAAGGACCGUCGAAUGCUAUUACAUAUUUGGAUAGUGGAUGAGUAUUGAGAACCAUAGCCUCUUCAGCAAUGGUGUAGACGUUGUGUCAGCGGUGAGGACGGACAGUGACCCUAUCCCCGGCAGCCAGUAGCCGAUUUUUGAAAAACUGUAUUGUGCCCCCUAAACCUCAUUCUCCUAGCAGAGUUGUCGUUCAUGCCUCAACAUACAUCUCUGCAACGGGCUCAAUGCCAGGAAUCUUGGCAAAACACAUCAAAAUGACACAGGAUGAUGUGCAGCCAGUCCUGGAUUUAAACCUUGGACCCCUUACUCUUCUGAUUGAGCUAAUCAGGGCGCCACAAAACAUUUCCCCUUUAGUGACAAUCACUAAGUUGGUGCACUGACAUUCUCCUCUGCCAAGCUGGAAUUUGUUCCUGAAUUCAAGUCACAGGGAUCAUUGUAAACCUAAUCCAUUCAAACCACGAACAGAUUUUGUUGAGAAUUGCUUGUGCAAUAGUCCCACAUUGGGCACCAAAUGUUGCUGGAUGGGAAAGUUGUACAGCCAAUCCAGAACUCAAAUCUUUUACCCCUCGCUAUCAGGGCCAAUACCUAUGAGCAUGCUGUUAGAUACAUGUGUACAAUAAAACAUGUAGUUAAUUACUUGAUCACUGUAAUAAAGCAUGGUUUCCGCUCUCUAACUGAAGAAGUUUUCAUCCGAUCUUCACCAAAUUUGGUCAGAAGUUGUAUCUAGAUAAUAUCAAGGUCAAGUUCAAAUAUGGGUCAUGCAGGGUCAAAAACUAGGUCACAAGGUCACUUAGUGCAUUUUAAGCAUUUAGCAUGGUGUCCUCUCUCUAAUUGAAGUAGUUUUUAUCCGAUCUUCACAUAAUUUGGUCAGAAAUUGUGUGUACAUGAUAUUUAGGUCAAGUUCAAAUAUGGGUCACGCCGGGUCAAAAACUAGGUCAUGAGGUCACUUAGUGCAUUUCAAGCAUUUAGCAUGGUGUCCGCUCUCUAAUUGAAGAAUUUUUCAUCCGAUCUUCACAAAAUUUGGUCAGAAGUUGUGUUUAGAUGAUGUCCAAAACCUAACAACGGGCGUAUCUUGUGACAGUUUGGCACUCUUGUUUACAGAUGAGUUACAAUAACUUUUUAUCGUGACAGUAAGUAUUGAGAAGUUUCGGUUUGUCAACACUUCAAACGGCAUAGAUCAUACCAUUUUAACUGCUAAUUUGAUAACAAUAGUUGAUGUUACGUAUAUACUACCCGAAGUGAGCCUGCCACACUCCUUACAUUGUCUUUAUUUUCGCAAAGGUGAUAUAAAACGUAAGCUGUAAGACACUCUAUGAUAGGAAAUACAAAAAGCAACGAACCCUUCUGUAAGUGUAUUGCAUGUAACCGUGUAUUUUUAACAAACGUAUUAUAUAUUAAAUAAAUAUACAUACGUCAGUGUGUGCAUUCCUUCCUAUUUGUAAUACAUGUAAUAAAUCAAAUUGCCUACGUACUUAUAUGUAUGAUAAAUUGACCUUUUUUAAGUGACGAACUGUUAUAGAUCAUAGAUGCCUGUGAGUGCCAUAACAGGCGAACCCAUGCUCCAAUAGGGCAAAAAUACUCGUAUCUUUCCAUGAGACACAACCGAGCAGCCUCUCGUCGAAUUCUAUGGACCACGUCAUAUCCGGUGGCAUAGCUGUCCUUGGCAGGUUCCUGUUGAAGCGAUAAAAAAAAUCAUACUUUGAUAAAUCUGUUUUGCAUAGUAAAUACAAAUAAGCUGAUCUGUUUAAAAUGUUACAUUAAAAUAUGGCCGGUGAAAGAAACUAGGAACACUGCUUACCGUGAACUAUCUUCCUCUAAAUUCAAAAUUAUUUAAAACUUUCCGCUCAUCGUCGAAUCC